AUGAGGCUGACUGUGCGUGUGAUCGGAGCGCGCAACCUGCGCGCCAUGGAUUUCAACGGGUUCAGCGACCCGUAUGUGAAACUGCAGGUUGGGAAGCAGCGGUUCAAGACCAAGGUGGUCAAGAUGAACCUGAACCCGGAGUGGGAUCAGGAGUUCAGCUUCGUCGUCGCCGAUGUCCGGGAGGUGCUCAAGUUAGAUGUCUAUGAUGAAGACAUGAUCGGGACCGAUGACUUCCUGGGCCAGGUGAGGGUGACACUGGAGGAUCUUCUGGCCGUGGAGAACUUCUCGCUCGGUACGCGCUGGUACCAGCUUCUUCCCAAGACCAAGAGUGACAAGGCAAUUAAUUGUGGGGAGAUUUGUCUUGCAAUAUCUUUAGAAACAGCUGGGGCCACACGAUCAUGGUCCGAUGAUCUUGCAACUGAACUAACUGGUACACAGAAAGAGGAUUCAUUGCAAUCAAGUCAAAGCGCAGGAUCAUCAUCAGCGGCAUUAGCUUAUGAAGAAAAUGAAGCUUCUAAAGAAGAUAAUGUUAAUGAGUAUUUUUCUGAUGGAACUGAAAUCCCUGAAGAUGACAAAUGUGGCGAAGUGAGAGAUCCAGAGGACAGGUUUAAUGGGAUUCCUACUGAAAUUUCUAAUGAAGCCGAAACUUCUAAAACAGAAAAGCUUGACAAGCCCUCGCUUGUUGAUCGUGUCUAUCAAAUGUUUGCCAAGAAAAAUGAUGAUAUUUCGUCAACAUCAUUGACAAAGACCGAGGCUUUAGAAGAAGUUCAGCAAGCACCAGCAGUAUUUGAGGCUCCUUUAAGCCAAAAUAGUGACAUUUCUUCAGAGAUUACAUUUGCUGAACUAUUGAGAUCUUUUGAAUCGAGGCACGAAGAAGUCGAAAUGCCUGUGAAUUUACAAGGAAUUCUUGUUAACCAGUCAUAUUUUACGUCACCUAGUGAUUUGAAUAACCUUCUCUUCUCACCAGAUUCAGAUUUUCGGCAAACAUUGGUUCAGCUUCAGGGUUGUACUGAUUUCAAAACUGAACCCUGGAGAAUUGAUAAUGAUGGGGAGUCCCUGAAGAGAGUGAUAAGUUAUACAACUGCACCAUCCAAAUUGGUUAAAGCUGUAAAGGCAACAGAGGAACAAUCUUAUUUGAAGGCUGAUGGAAAAGAGUAUUCAGUUUUAUUAAGUGCUAGCACUCCUGAUGUUCCUUGUGGUACUUAUUUUCGGACAGAGGUUCUUUUCCGUAUUAUGCCAGGCCCUGAACUUGAUUCUGAGCAACAGACUUCACAUUUGGUAAUUUCUUGGCGCAUGAAUUUUCUUCAGAGUACUAUGAUGAAAAGUAUUAUAGAAAAUGGAGCAAGACAAGGCUUGGAGCAAAAUUAUUCACAGUUCUCUGAUCUACUGUCAGAGAAGAUCAAGCCUAUUGAUGUAGAUGAUGCUGGAUCAGAUAAGGAGCAGGUCUUAGCUUCAUUGCAAGGGGGGCAGGAGUCUGAUUGGAAGAUAGCAUUCCUAUACUUCUGUAACUUUGGUGUCUUGUCCUCUCUUUUUGUUGCCUUGUACAUUGGUGUUCAUGUUUCACUAGUGAAUUCAGGUGCAGUUCAGGGACUUGAGUUUCCUGGAUUAGAUUUGCCAGAUUCUGUCAGUGAGAUUGUCAUGGGCGGGCUAUUGUUUCUUCAGGUGCAACACAUAUUUAAGAAAAUCAUGUGUUUUUUUCAGGCAAGAGAACAAAAAGUUGGUGAUCAUGGUGUGAAAGCACAAGGCGAUGGAUGGUUGCUAACUGUUGCCUUAAUUGAGGGAACUAAUUUGGCACCAGUCGAUGCUACUGGUUUCUCUGAUCCUUAUGUGGUAUUUACUUGCAAUGGUAAAACCAAAACAAGCUCAAUCAAGUUCCAAACACUUGAACCUCAGUGGAACGAUAUCUUUGAGUUUGAUGCCAUGGAUGAUCCUCCAUCAGUUAUGAAUGUGCAUGUAUAUGAUUUUGAUGGACCAUUUGACGAAGUUACCUCUCUUGGACAUGCUGAAAUCAACUUUGUGAAAUCAAAUCUGUCAGAGCUAGCGGAUGUAUGGAUUCCUCUUCAAGGUAACUUGGCUAAGUCCAGGCAGUCUAAGUUACACCUAAGAAUCUUCUUGAACAACUCAAAGGGCACUGGUAUGGUCACUGAGUAUCUGAGCAAAAUGGAGAAAGAAGUUGGUAAGAAGAUGACGUUGCGGUCUCCUCGAACUAAUACUGCAUUCCAGGAGCUCUUCUCUCUGCCUGCAGAAGAAUUUCUAAUCAGCAGUUUUACCUGCUACUUGAAGCGGAAAUUGCCUACACAGGGCCAUCUUUUCUUGUCUCCAAGAAUAAUUGGAUUUUAUUCAAGCAUGUUUGGCCGGAAAACAAAGUUUUUCUUUCUAUGGGAGGAUAUUGAGGACAUACAGGCAAUUCCCCCAUCACUAUCGACAUGGAGUCCAUCCCUUGCAAUAACUCUUCACAGAGGUAGAGGCAUGGAUGCAAAGCAUGGUGCGAAGAGCGUAGAGAGUGGAAAGCUGAAGUUUUCUCUGCAAUCUUUCGCAUCAUUUAGUGUGGCCAAUAGGACAAUAAUGGCGUUAUGGAAAGCAAGAUCAUUGAGCUCCGAGUCUAAAGUACAGAUUGCUGAGGAACAAUCUCAAAAUAAUACACUUCAGAGUGAGGACAGUGGGAUUUUUGUUGGUGUUGACGAUUCCAAGAGCCUUCAGAUGAGUGAAGUUUUCUCGUCAACCAUUUCUGCUAAUAUGAAUUCACUUCUGGAGGUGUUCGAAGGAGGUUCAUUGGAGAUGAAAGUCAUGGAGAAAGUUGGAUGCCUCAAAUACUCGGCUACACAAUGGGAAUCAGAUAAACCCGAGGAAUAUCAAAGACAAAUUCAUUACAAGUUUAGCAGGAAGUUGUCUCCUGUUGGAGGAGAAGUGACUGGGACCCAGCUGAAAUCUCCUAUGCCCAAUAAGAAAGGGUGGAUUAUUGAAGAGGUGAUGGAACUUCAAGGCGUCCUUCUUGGUGACUUCUUCACGCUUCAUAUAAAGUAUCAAAUCGAAGACCUUGCUCCUAAACAAAAGGCGUGCAGUGUCCAAGUCUAUCUUGGAAUUGAAUGGUCAAAGACCACCAGGCAUCAGAAGAGAAUCGAGAAGAAUGUUCUUUCCAGCUCAUCUGCUCGCCUAAAGGAGAUGUUCAGCCUUGCAUCCAAGCAACUCUCGAACACCAGAUAG
rnacentral:rRNA from 1 species